UGCACGGGAGUUGAUUUUGGUCCCCUUGAUUUUCUCAGUGCCAGUCACUGUUCCCUUCAGGAGGGCUUUCUCCCUCCUCAUGUCUUCUGCCCUCCUCUUUUCUCUGCCUGAGAGGCCAGCCAGACAGGUAAAUACCUAGAGGAGUCCAAGAGCCGAGGCCAUUCUGAGACCAAAUGUGUUGAUGUGACUCAAGGAACAACACAGACCAGCUGUGUCAACAUGCCUCAGUCCUCUGUUCCUAGGACCUCGGCUUGGGAACGGUCCAUCUGAUACAUCAUGUGUCCUAGCAGAAGACUGGCAAAUAGCCAUCAGGGCCUGAGGCAGUUUACCCACAUUGUCAUCUAGCAGGGAUUAAAUCAUCUGCCCUGGAAGAGAAAGGCCCAUGGAAAAUAAGGUUCCCAGGUGGUGACCAUGCCGCCAGCCCAGGGACCACACUUGGAGAAUCACCGGGAAGUCAAGAAACUCCCGUGGUGGCUCCUGACCUGCUUGAUCACCCCAGCUGUGCUCUUGGCUGACUCCACCCUGAAGCUGGAUGAACUGCUGCAUACGGAACCACCGACCCUUGUGCAAU